GGGAUGUAUGAAGGGAAUCCUUGGUUACACAGAGGAUGAUGUUGUGUCUACUGAUUUUAUUGGUGACAACAGGUCAAGCAUUUUUGAUGCAAAGGCUGGAAUUUCAUUGAACAACAACUUUGUGAAACUUGUCUCUUGGUAUGAUAAUGAAUGGGGCUACAGCACACGUGUUGUGGACUUGAUUCGACACAUGGCCUCAGUGUAAUGAUACAAGGAACUUGGUCCAAACCUCAACCUUUU
rnacentral:sRNA from 1 species